CUUCCGGUUGAUGAAUCUUCUGAACUUUCGCACGAGAAGAGCCUCAUCUUCAUCUCCCUCAUUGUCUUCUUCUUCGCUGCUGCUACUGCAAGAUAGAUCCUUAUUAGAAGAAGUAGAUUUGAGGGCCAUUACCUUUUUCUUAUGAGAGGAUUCUUCUUCGCUGUGCUGUUUCAUUAUGAGCUCAUGCGUCAUUAGGGAUCCAAGAAGCUCCUCGAGUGGCAGCUUGUUCAAGUCCCUUGCUUCUUGGAUU
rnacentral:lncRNA from 1 species